rnacentral:rRNA from 1 species
UACAGAGGUCCCAAGCGUUGUUCGGAUUCAUUGGGCGUAAAGGGUGCGUAGGCGGCGCGGUAAGUCGGGUGUGAAAUCUCGGGGCUUAACUCCGAAACUGCAUUCGAUACUGCCGUGCUUGAGGACUGGAGAGGAGACUGGAAUUUACGGUGUAGCGGUGAAAUGCGUAGAUAUCGUAAGGAAGACCAGUGGCGAAGGCGGCUCACUGGCCCGGUACUGACGCUGAGGUGCGAAAGCGUGGGGAGCAAACAGG